GACGGCAGUACGCAUGCGCGAGCCGCGAGACGGCAGCACGCAUGCGCGAGGCGGGAAACGGUAGUACGCAUGCGCGAAAUCAAGGACGGCAGUACGCAUGCGCGAGCCCCGACACGGCAGUACGCAUGCGCGGAAUCAUGGACGGCAGUACGCAUGCGCGAGCCGGGAGACGGCAGUACGCAUGCGCGAGCCAAGAAACGGCAGUACGCACGCGCGACAUUUUAGACAGCAGUACGCAUGCGCGGUACGCGAGACUGUAGUGCGCAUGCGCGAUCUGCUAGACGGCAGUACGCAUGCGCAGCAUCAUAGGCAGCAGUACGCAUGUGCGUUCCAUGAAACGGCAGUACGCAUGCGCGAUAUCACGGGCCGCAGUACGCAUGCCCGGGCUCCGAGACGGCAGUACGCAUGCGCGAGCUUCGAGCCGGUAGUACGCAUGCGCGACAUUACGGACAGCAGUACGCUUGCGCGAGUUUCCAGACGGCAGUACGCAUGCGCUACAUCAUAGACAGCAGUACGCAUGCGCGAGCUUCGAGACGGUAGUACGCAUGCGCGAGUUUCUAGACGGCAGAACGCAUGCGCGACAUUACGGACCGCAUUAUGCAUGCGCGAGCCGCGAGACGGCAGUACGCAUGCGCGAAAUCAUAGCAGUACGCAUGCGCGAGGUGUGAAGCGGCAGUACGCAUGCGCAGCAUUAUAGACAGCAGUACGCAUGCGCGACAUCACAGACAGCAGUAGGCAUGCCCUAGACGCGAGCCGGUAGUACGCAUGCGCGGCAUCAUAGACAGCAGUACGCAUGCGCCAGACACGAGACAGUAGUACGCAUUCGCGAGUUCCGAGCUGGCAGUACGCAUGCGCGACAUUACGGACAGCAGUAUGCAUGCGCUAGCUUCUAGACGGCAGUACGCAUGCGCGCCGUCAUAGACGAUGGCACCAGAGACCGCCGCAACCUUUCCGACGCAGUUUUCCUGUUUGGACAUUAGGUGGCAGCAGAUACCGUGGAAACAACUCCUCCGCCGCCUUUUAGCGGACUGCCUGGGACCGUGGGCGCGCGCAUCCCCUUCUCUCUUUCUUUUCUUGGCAGAGGAUGGUGGGGGGAAGAAGGGGAGACGACAAAGAAAAGCAAGGAAAACUUCGACAAACCCCCCAACCCCGUGCUAAAUGCUUUGGUAUACCUGUAAAUAAAUGAAUACAUAACCAGCAA
ensembl:lncRNA